UGCUGGCGACCAUAGCAAGAGUGAACCACCUGAUCCCUUCCCGAACUCAGAAGUGAAACCUCUUAGCGCUGAUGGUAGUGUGGGAUUACCCAUGUGAGAGUAAGUCAUCGCCAGCUC
rnacentral:rRNA from 4 species